rnacentral:rRNA from 1 species
GACGAGUCUCACAAACGUUAUUCGGAAUUACUGGGCUUAAAGGGUGCGUAGGCGGUGAAGUAAGUCGGAUGUGAAAUACCUUAGCUUAACUAGGGAACUGCACUCGAUACUACUUUGCUAGAGUAAGAUAGAGGUGAGUGGAACUGAGGGUGGAGCGGUGAAAUGCGUUGAUAUCCUCAGGAACACCGGUGGCGAAGGCGACUCACUGGGUCUUUACUGACGCUGAUGCACGAAAGCUAGGGUAGCAAACGGGGAUUAGAUACCCUUGUAGU